GGUGUUCGGGGUGCAGGCACUGAGGUGUUUGUGGUCCCAGGCUGUGCAUGGGGAGCCUUAGCUGAGAGAACAAACAAGUUUUUAGUGAGCAUUUAAGUCAGGGAUCUCACCAUGAGCAGCUGUUGCUGCCUUGCCUUGGAGGAGAGACUAUUGCAGCUGACUCUGGAGCCAGGAGAAGCUGUAGAGAUGUCAGGGAGGAAACCAGCCAAGGAGGAUGUGGCAAGUAGUAACAAAAGAGCAGAAAGUAUUUUCUCCCUGGGACCUGGAUGAGAUCUGGGAGAUAAAAAUUGGGCUCAGAAUAGUUAGGAGGAAAGAGGAAGGAGUGGGAGCUAAGACAGCCUUGGGUACUAUCAGCAGGAUAGUGAAUGCAAAUGAAUGGGAGGGACACUGCAGCAGGUGAGGAAAUUCUCAUUAAGAACAGCUUAAUGAGACAAUAAAAGCCUCUGGGAAGCCUCACAGUUCCCACGCCUCUCCUCUGGUGAGACUUUCCUGAAACAACUCCAAACAAACAAACAAAAGCCAACCUGAUUGAGCAGUGAUGGAUGGAGUUCAAGAGCUGGGGUGACAGCAGCAUUUAUCUGCUCUCAGGUGAUGGAUGCAGGCUGUCGUCCAGCCCAGUGCAGGAUGAGCAGUGUCCUUCACCUUGGCUGGACUAGGUGUGGUGUGGGGGAGUUUUUUUUGCACAUCUCUGCUUGCCAGGGUCACAUCUGGAUUAAGAACAACAAACCUCUGUGAGCCAGUGUGUUCACACCCAGCAAAUUUUCAGAAUUCCUCAGAUGGCUGCUAAUUGAAUCAUUGUAAAUGAAACAAAAUCCAUGUGCUCAUCUUGGAGCAAGUGUUUGUUGAACUCUCAGUGUUUGAAUAGAGUAUUGUCAAAUUAACAAAUCCCUCUCCCUUGGGAGCUGAGAUUUAAACUGGUGCUCCUCUGAUCAGGAAGACAGAGGUGGGAAAGAAAUUUAUCUUUUUUCUCCAAGAAAACAAAGGCAGUAGCCUUAUUAAAAAAAGGAUCAGAAGACAGGAUCACUUGGUUCCUGGUCCUGUGGUUUGCUUAAGCAAUGUCAGGAAUUCGGGCAGCACAAAUCAAACAGUCAGCAAAUUCUGAGUGCCCUAGGGUAUUGAAAAAUGCUUUUGGGGAAGGCUGCUAAUUGCAUUAUGGGUCAGUGCUUCACCAUGUGUUGUUUCUGGUUGUUCUGCAUUAAACUGCUGUGCCACACCAGCCUGUAGUGGGAUCCUGCCAGGGAGACUGAUGCUAAGAGAAAUCUCUGCUGCUCUGUGAAGAGGCCAACAAAAAGCUCACCCCCCUUCCUUUUUGUCCUGAAAACCCUGAAACAAAAAAAGAACCUGCUUGGGUCAGUGAUCCUGAAUGGACUGUGUGGAAGCACCAGCCUGGAAGCAGAAAAACAUGGACUGGGAAUGAUGGGGGUGGCGAGGGACGGGACUAUUCCCUUACACCUCAGUGUAAUUUGGGAGAGGGUGUAGGAAAGGCAGAGGAUCACUGCAGCAUCUAAGAGGCUUGAUGGCCUCUCUGCUCACAUAUUUCUAACAGAUGUCCUCGCUUUGUGGGCCUGCAAGUGGAGUGCUCAACAUCUGCUCCACAGCUCCACGUUAAACGGCUGCUUCUUCCCCAGCACCGACUCUGCUGAAAAAAAACAAUAGAAAAAGAAACUACCAAGUCUUGGAAUGCAUGAAGCAAGAAACAAAUGUGAAAUCUGGAGAAAACACUGGCCUGUGAAUAUUUAAAGUGGAAAACACAGCUUGUAGUGGCAGAAAGACGGUUUCAAACUAUGAAUUUAAUGUUGUCCCUUUGCAGUUGUGUUUGGGUGACUGAAAUAAGAACCUCAUUUCAGAUGUCAAAAGAACCUUUGUGCAGUUCAACUGAUGCAUGUGGCAAGGAGAGUCUGAAAGGACUCUGGAUAAAUCGUGUGCGCUUUUGACAAGGAACCGAGAGGCCACUGAUAGUUUCUGUUCUUAAUUUACUUUGCAGAAAUGCCUCUUUUUCCAUAAACACUGCUGAUGGCAAAGGCCAGAUGGUAGCUUGGUGUCCAGCAGGAAUGGAGCUGCCCUUCCAUCCCUCUCUGGUGGGGAUGCAGAUGUGGGAGCUCCAAAAUUAUGGUACCCUGUGGACAUCAUUGCAUUAUUUCACACGGAUUUUGCACCAGAGGUUAUCUUUGAUGGGGGGGGGGGGG